rnacentral:rRNA from 1 species
CAGCCGCCGCGGUAAAACGAAGGGGGCUAGCGUUGUUCGGAAUUACUGGGCGUAAAGCGCACGUAGGCGGACAUUUAAGUCAGGGGUGAAAUCCCGGGGCUCAACCCCGGAACUGCCUUUGAUACUGGGUGUCUUGAGUAUGGAAGAGGUAAGUGGAAUUGCGAGUGUAGAGGUGAAAUUCGUAGAUAUUCGCAGGAACACCAGUGGCGAAGGCGGCCUACUGGUCCAUUACUGACGCUGAGGUGCGAACGCGUGGGGAGCAAACAGGAUUAGAUACCCCCGUAGUCCCUGUCUCUUAUAC